CACGGGUGAGUAACACGUAUCCAACCUGCCGUCUACUCUUGGACAGCCUUCUGAAAGGAAGAUUAAUACAAGAUGGCAUCAUGAGUCCGCAUGUUCACAUGAUUAAAGGUAUUUUCCGGUAGACGAUGGGGAUGCGUUCCAUUAGAUAGUAGGCGGGGUAACGGCCCACCUAGUCAACGAUGGAUAGGGGUUCUGAGAGGAAGGUCCCCCACAUUGGAACUGAGACACGGUCCAA
rnacentral:rRNA from 1 species